UAUGCUUAUAUCUACUAUAACUGGACCAACCUGGUGCUCUUCAUUUAUGGAGGCUGUUGAGUCUGAAUGUUGGAUGUUGUGUAUCUCGUGUUCUCUGGGCUUUGUUGUCCUCAGUCUUUUUGCAGGAUCAGAAAACAAAACCAGGAUGACCGUAAAUGUUUCUUCUCCAAUUGGAUGAUGAUAAGACCGUGACAUGGUAUGCCACCUUUAGUCUUGUGAUGAAGCAAAGCUCAGGACGAAGUAUGAUUAAAUGGUACCCACAUGUGUGCUGCUGAGAAGGAUGUACAGGGGCACCUGCAGCCAAAUCCAAGCCUCCUCAGCAACUUCAAGUCUGUCAGCGUGCUGAGGUCACAGAAACAAGAAAAGAAGCUUCAGACUUCAGAGUGUUGUUUACAGUUUUCUGUCAUCAUGAUCUCCCCUGAAGUUUAUCACUAUUAGGCAAGCAAGCAGAGCGGCAGUUUGUGCUCACAGAUGGUGACGGUGUGGAGAGACGGUGGUG